rnacentral:rRNA from 1 species
UCGAAGGUUAAGAGGAUGCGUCAGUCGCAAGAUGAAGCGUUGAAUUGAAGCCUGAGUAAACGGCGGCCGUAACUAUAACGGUCCUAAGGUAGCGAAAUUCCUUGUCCGUUAAAUACCGACCUGCAUGAAUGGCGUAACGGGAUGGGAGCUGUCUCAUCCAUAGAUUCAGUGAAAUUGUAGUGUAGGUGAAAAGUCUCCUAUUCGCUACAGACCGCCAGACCCCCUGGACCUUUGCUACAAUUUAGCACUGUUAUCUGAGUAUCAUGCCCAGGUUAGGUCGAUGGCUUCUACGGCUGCGCAUUGCCUCUUUUGGCUCCUACCGUGUCAUUUUUCUCCGAUGUUUUUUCUUCACC